AUAAAAAGAGGGAAUGAGGUUCUCCCUGGUCAAGUAGAUGGUGAUUUUAGGCCAUCCCAUACCGAACCGCUGAAAAGCUGAUGACUUCUGCAAGUAA
rfam:Aerococcus viridans ATCC 11563 = CCTG 4311 strain ATCC 11563 contig00050, whole genome shotgun sequence.